AUGCGGUAUGACGGUACCCUUUCGAAUAAGAGGUUGCUAACUCUGUGCCAGCAGCAGCGGUAAUACAGAGACCUCGAGCGUUAUCCGGAUUUACUGGGCGUAAAGCGUCUGUAGGGGGUUUGUUAAGUUCCAAGUAAAAUCUUAAGGCUCAACUUUAAGUUCGCUUGGAAAACUAAUAAACUGGAGUCCAGCAGAGGUGCAUGGAACUUGCGGUGUAGGAGUGAAAUCCGUUGAUAUCGCAAGGAACACCAAAGGCGAAGGCAUUGCACUGGGCUGGUACUGACCCUGAGAGACGAAAGCGUGGGGAGCAAAACGGAUUAGAUACCCGUGUAGUCCACGCCGUAAACGAUGGAUACUAGAUGUUCGGGGAUUCGACCCCCUGGGUGUCACAGCUAACGCGUUAAGUAUCCCGCCUGGGAAGUACGGCCGCAAGGCUAAAACUCAAAGGAAUAGACGGGGAUCCGCACAAGCGGUGGAGCGUCUGGUUUAAUUUGAUAGUAAGCAAUGGACCUCACCAAGGUUUGACAUCCUAUGACAACCCUGGAAACAGGGCUUCCUUCGGGCAUAGUGACAGGUGCUGCAUGGUCGUCGUCAGUUCGUGCCGUGAGGUGUUCCGUUAAGUCGGGAAACGAACGAAACCCUCGUCGCAUGUUACAAAUUUCAUGCGAGACUGCCCGGGUCAACCGGGAGGAAGGCGGGGAUGACGUCAGAUCAGCAUGGCCCUUAUACCUUGGGCUACACAGGCGCUACAAUGGCCGGUACAAAGGGUUGCAAAACCGCGAGGUGAAGCUAAUCCCAUAAAGCCGGUCCAAGUUCGGAUUGGAGGCUGCAACUCGCCUCCAUGAAGUUGGAAUCGCUAGUAAUCGUGGAUCAGCCAUACCACGGGAAUACGUUCCCGGAUCUUGUACUCACCGCCCGUCACACCAAGAGAGUUGGUAGCUCCUGAAGC
rnacentral:rRNA from 1 species